GAGUCGGACCUGCCCAGUGAAUAAUUUCAACGGCCGCGGUACUCUGACCGUGCAAAGGUAGCAUAAUCAUUUGCCCUAUAAUUGAGGGCUAGUAUGAAUGGUUUGACGUGAACAAAACUGUCUCUAUAUAAUUUUUUAGAAUUUGAUCUCUAGGUGAAGAAACCUAGAUAUUAUUGAUAGACAAGAAGACCCUAUUGAGCUUUAAAGAAACAAGUUGAGAAAAAUGUAUAGCUUUAAAUGUUAAUCUACUUGAAAUUUUGGUUGGGGCGACUAUGGAACAAAUAAAACUUCUUUAUAUUCUUAAAAACUUUCGAGUCUUGAUCCAAGAAUUUUGAUUAAUGGAAAUAGUUACCAUAGGGAUAACAGCAUAAUUCUCUUUGAGAGUUCUCAUCGAAAAGAGAGUUUGUGACCUCGAUGUUGGACUAGAAUAUCCUAAAGAUGCAGCAGUCUUUAAGGGUUGGUC
rnacentral:rRNA from 1 species